rnacentral:rRNA from 1 species
GAUGAACGCUGGCGGCGUGCCUAAUACAUGCAAGUCGAGCGAACGGACGAGAAGCUUGCUUCUCUGAUGUUAGCGGCGGACGGGUGAGUAACACGUGGAUAACCUACCUAUAAGACUGGGAUAACUUCGGGAAACCGGAGCUAAUACCGGAUAAUAUUUUGAACCGCAUGGUUCAAAAGUGAAAGACGGUCUUGCUGUCACUUAUAGAUGGAUCCGCGCUGCAUUAGCUAGUUGGUAAGGUAACGGCUUACCAAGGCAACGAUGCAUAGCCGACCUGAGAGGGUGAUCGGCCACACUGGAACUGAGACACGGUCCAGACUCCUACGGGAGGCAGCAGUAGGGAAUCUGCCGCAAUGGGCGAAAGCCUGACGGAGCAACGCCGCGUGAGUGAUGAAGGUCUUCGGAUCGUAAAACUCUGUUAUUAGGGAAGAACAUAUGUGUAAGUAACUGUGCACGUCUUGACGGUACCUAAUCAGAAAGCCACGGCUAACUACGUG